CUAAACCGCUCAUUUUCAGUCAAAAAGAGAGAAUACCCAAAUGCAAAUUUUAGCGCCAAGAAAGCAAUGCUCUCUUUCGCUUUAGUCCAUCUUCAUCCUUCUUCUUCCCCAAACCCACAGUUCCAUUUUCCCCACAAAAAUCAAAUUCUGCCAAUUCAAUCACUCAACUUUUCACCAUUUACUGUAAUACCCACAAAAUUGCUGAGUAAACCCUCCUUCUCCCGCUUAUUAUCUUCGGUAUCGUCGUCUUCUUUGGUUGCUGAUGACUUUCAAGUGGAAUUGGGUCGGUUAUUGUCUUUGUUGCCGGAGGAAAUGCGGCGAGGAGUUAGCGAACACCCGGAAUAUUCCAAUUUAAUUGAGGUGGUUAUGGACUUAGGUCGUAAGCCACUUGCUCGCUUCCCUUCUGGAGAUUUCAUCUUAUCCGAUCAACCGAUUACUUUGGGUGAUCUUCAACAAGCUACCUCGCAGGUUGGUGACUUUGCAGUUGACAAUAGAGCUGGCAUUAGCAGAACUUUACACCGAAUUAGUGCUAUUAGAAAUCGGAAAGGUGCAAUUAUUGGUUUAACUUGUCGAGUUGGUCGUGCAAUAUCUGGAAGUGCAAACUCAUUGCGAGAUCUAGUUAAAGAUGGUGCGUCUUUGUUGCUCAUUGGUCCUCCUGGAGUAGGAAAAACAACUAUUAUCAGGGACAUAGCCAGGAUGCUUGCAAAUGAUUAUAGGAAGCGCGUAAUGAUUGUGGACACCUCUAAUGAAAUUGGUGGGGAUGGUGAUAUACCUCAUGCAGGAAUUGGUAAUGCUCGGCGGAUGCAGGUUCCACAUAAUGAUAUGCAACACAAGGUGCUGAUAGAAGCAGUGGAAAAUCAUAUGCCACAAGUGAUUGUAAUCGAUGAGAUUGGUACUAAGCUUGAGGCAAUGGCUGCAAGCACCAUUGCACAACGAGGAAUUCAGUUAGUUGCAACUGCUCAUGGAGUAACAAUAGAGAAUUUAGUAAUGAAUCCUGCUUUAGAGAUGCUGGUUGGAGGAGUACAGAGUGUGACACUUGGGGAUGAAGAGGCUAGCAGGCGACGCGUUCAGAAAUCUGUUCUGGAGAGGAAAGGUCCAUCAUCUUUUAGCUGUGGGGUUGAGAUAAUCUCCAAGGCAGAAUUGAGAGUUCACCCUGAUUUAGAAGCAACAGUAGAUGCAAUUCUUGCAGGACGUUACCCAAAAUAUGAAAUUCGCAAGAUAAAUCCAGGAUCGCAAGAUGGAAUUAUGGAAAUUUCAUCCAUCCAAGCACCAUUAGAUGAAAUAAAUGAAGUUUUGAUUGAAGAUAUAAUCCAGAUUAAUGGAGGUAUACCUGAUUCAACUGAGCUCAUCUCAGCAACAGGUCCGAGCAUGGAAGGAGGUUCUGGUGAAAGUGAGGAUGCCCUUUGCAUUUUUCUAUAUGGGAUCUCAGAGGCAAGUGUGAUGCAAGGGAUAAAACAGCUUAACAUUGACGAUACGUUUGAGUUUACUGAUAAUAUCAGUGAAGCAGAUGUGCUACUUGCUCUGCAGUCCAAGCUUAAGAAAAAUUCUCGGAUUCAAGCAGCUGCAAGAUCUCACGGCAUUCCUAUUUAUGUGACAAAGACUAGCUCCUCAACACAGCUGACAAAGGCUAUGCAGGCAUUAAUCAGUGAUUUUGCUGAUGGCUUUGAGUUUCUCGAAUCUGAAGCUAAAACUAAUGAGUCUGAAAAGAUUGAUGCCUUAGAGCCUUCAGACAUGCCUGGUGUUGCAUUGAUUACAACAAAGCUCACAGGACUUGAGAAUUAUGGUCUUUGGAGCAGAUCGAUGAGAUUAGCACUGUUGGUGAAAAAUAAGAUAAGCUUCAUAGAUGGAACUUGUUUGAAGAGUAUGUACAAGGAUGAAUUAGCAGUCCAAUGGGAAAGAUGCAAUGCAGUGGUUCUUUCAUGGAUUAGUAGCACAGUAGCAAACAAUAUGUUAACAACAAUAGUAUAUGCAUCUAAUGCAAAACGAGUUUGGGAAGAUUUCAAGGAGAGGUUUGAUAAAUCUAAUCUCACUAGGAUCUAUCAACUCUGGACAGAAGUAGCCACAUGAAAGCAAGGUACGGAUUCUGUAACAGAGUAUUAUUCUAAAUUGAGGGAUUUAUGGGAUGAGUAUGAUGUAUUGGUGCCCUCACCAUCAUGUAAAUGUGAUGAUGCUAAGCCUUAUAUUGAGCAUUUACAUCAACAAAGAUUGAUGAUGUUCCUGAUGGGGUUAAAUGAGACUUUCAGUCAUGUGAGAAGUGAUUUGUUGCUGAAAAGUGAAGUACCUAGCAUUAACCAAGCUUAUGCAACUGUAAUUCAAGAGGAAAGCCAAAGAGUAUUAGGUGUAGUGGAUUCAAAUAAAGAGCCACUUACUAUGAUGACAGGAAGAGGACAAGGACAAGGAUUCAAAGGGAAGAAGGAGGCUCGAAUAGCCAUGGAGCGAGUGGUAAUUCCGAAAGGGGAACCUGUUGAGCUACUCCCUAGGCCAUCAAAUAUUAUACUGCUUCAGAAGGAUCUUGUUAGAAAGUACAAGCUAAAAUCAGAGCGAAUUGGAA